UAGUCCACGCCCUAAACGAUGCUAACUCGAUGUUUGUAUUUAUAUGAGCAUCCAAGGGAAACCGUUAAGUUAGCCACCUGGGGAGUACGUUCGCAAGAAUGAAACUCAAAGGAAUUGACGGGGGCCCGCACAAGCGGUGGAGCAUGUGGUUUAAUUCGAUGCAACGCGAAGAACCUUACCUACUCUUGACAUCCUCAGAAGAGACUGGAGACAGUCUUGUGCCUUCGGGAACUGAGAGACAGGUGCUGCAUGGCUGUCGUCAGCUCGUGUUGUGAAAUGUUGGGUUAAGUCCUAUAACGAGCGCAACCCCUAUCGUUAGUUGCAAACAGGUCAUGCUGUGGACUCUAGCGAGACUGCCGGUGCAAACCGUGAGGAAGGUGGGGAUGACGUCAAAUCAUCACGGCCCUUACGUCCUGGGCUACACACGUGCUACAAUGGUAAUGACAGCGAACAGCCACCUGGCGACAGGGAGCUAAUCUACAAACAUUAUCAA
rnacentral:rRNA from 1 species